rnacentral:misc_RNA from 1 species
CUCUCUCUCUCUCUCUCUCUCUCUCACAACUUACUCUGCUUUCUUUCUCCUCUUCUUUUUCCGAUGGAUUCUUGCGCAGAGAAUUUGCAGGGCCCUUGCCCGUCCUCUCCCGAUACAGAAACGCCGCGAGCAGCCAGCUCCGCCGUGCAACGCGCCCUCCGCCUCAUCCAAUCUGACGACCUUGAUUCCAAGAUUGAUGCUGCUAAAGAAAUCCGCCGGCUCACCAAAACUUCUCAGAGGUGUCGCCGACAGCUUGCUCAAGCUGUUAACCCGGUUGUUUCCAUGCUCCGAGUUAUUGACUCGCCCGAGUGCCAUGAGUCCUCUCUUCUUGCACUUCUCAAUCUCGCUGUUCAAGACGAGAAGAACAAGAUAAGCAUUGUUGAAGCUGGAGCCUUAGAACCAAUAAUUGGCUUUCUUCAGUCACAGAAUUUAAACUUACAGGAGUAUGCAACAGCAUCUUUGCUUACUCUUUCUGCAUCUACCACGAACAAGCCGAUUAUAGGUGCUUCCGGUGCCAUUCCUUUGCUUGUGGAAAUCCUUAGGGGUGGAAGUUCUCAAGCCAAGUUUGAUGCUGUGAUGUCCCUUUCUAAUCUUUCAACACUUACAGAUAAUCUCAGCAUUA